GACGAACGCUGGCGGCGUGCUUAACACAUGCAAGUCGAACGGAAAGGCCUGCUUUCCCUUGUGGAUUGCGGGUACUCGAGUGGCGAACGGGUGAGUAACACGUGAGUGAUCUGCCCCCAACUUGGGUAUAAGCCUGGGAAACUGGGUCUAAUUCCCGAUAGGACUGCAGGGUGGUGCCUGUGGUGGAAAACGAUUUUCUAGUGGUUGGGGAUGAGCUCGCGGCCUAUCAGCUUGUUGGUGGGGUAAUGGCCUACCAAGGCGGCGACGGGUAGCCGGCCUGGGAGGGUGGACGGCCACAUUGGGACUGAGCUACGGCCCAGACUCCUACGGGAGGCAGCAGUGGGGAAUAUUGCACAAUGGGCGGAAGCCUGAUGCAGCGACGCCGCGUGGGGGAUGACGGCCUUCGGGUUGUAAACUCCUUUCGACCGCGAGGAAGCCACCUGGUUGGAAGGGUGGUGACGGUAGUGGUAGAAGAAGCACCGGCUAACUACGUG
rnacentral:rRNA from 1 species